GUGGACGUGGCCAAGUGGACCAAGGCAGUGGAUUGUGAAUCCAUAACGGGUGGGUUCAAUCCUCGCCAUUUGCC
rfam:Picea glauca, whole genome shotgun sequence.